rnacentral:lncRNA from 1 species
AUGCAUGACAACACUGUGGCCAAUUGCAUCCUCGUCACUUGCCUUGGGGACCCGAGCAUGACAGCGCAGGAUAGGGCCAGGGUGGUGGAGCUCUGGGUCUGGGUGGCUGAGGAGAGUUCUCGAACCUGGAAGAAGUGGUGCAGAGAAGCGCAUGAGCAGGGAGCUGCUCCUGCAGGAGGCGACCUCCAUGUUAGUGACUGCAGAGAGGGCCCGCCAGGGAGUCCAGGAGAGGCAGGGGCAGUAGGGGAUGUGCUGAACUGUCAGAAAUGGAAUGAGUCACCAGACCCCCAACCAAGGGCCCAGUGGUGGUGGUCCAUGACCCUCCUGAGACCAGCUGAGCUACAAUGGGGACACAGUGGGGACACUCAGGGUGCACAGGGUCAUCUCCUCAGAUUCUGAUGAGAACUUUGUGAUCCGUUUCCUGGGGUCCCCUGGAGGCCACGAUGGAAGGCACCAACCCCUCUUCUCCUUCCCCCCUUUCCCCCAGCACCUAUCUCCCUAUUUGGAGGGGCCAUGUUUUGUUGUCAAUGGUAAAUGCUGCAUUUGAGUAUAACAUUAAAUUGUUGCUUCUUUCUAAUCCUGGGAGUGGAGGUGUGCGUCUUUCACUCCCUGUGCUCAUGGAAACCAGAUCCAGAAACUCACAUUCCUGCUCGAAUUUAGAAACCUCACAGAGUCAUCAGCUCAGUUUAUGUGGAGAAGGAGAAGUGCCAGUCCCCUCCCUGGCUACUGAAGGACAUGCCCAAGUCCCCCUUCCUCCAAGGACAGGAUCAUUGCAGUGGGGCUCACCCUGUCCAGGAGCAGAGACAGCCCCUCCUACCUCUUGGGACUAAGAGGUUGGAGGCAUUUUCUCAGGCAGAAUGACAACCACUGAGCUGGGCGUGUCUUUCAAACUAGCACAUGCCUGUCCCUAGCACAUGUCCUGCCCAGGACAGUGGCUGCCUUUCUACACUCUGCCAGAAGAGGGAACAUUUUCCUGGUUUCUCUGGCACACAGAUUAGGACCUUGUUUUCUGAUUCAGUCUCUGGAAUAUCUUCAGCUCAAACUGGGGAAAAUACCGUCAAAAGCUCAAAAUGUGCCUGUGAAGAGGACAAAGCCAGAGGAAGGUCCUGUGCAGAUGGACCAUGGGCAGGCAGGACUCUGCCUUCUCGGGCCCACUGAGGGGCUCUCUGUUCACCGUUGACCUAGGCUGGAUCUUCCUGGGCUUCUGGUCCCUAACCCUGACUACCAUUUCCUGCUUGUUGUCUAUCUAAGGGGAAAGCUGUGGGAUGCAGCUUUUAGGGCCUCAGCCAGGUCUCCCUCCAUAAAUCCAGUGCUCCUUGUGAGCUAGGAUUUUCAGUGUCUCUGCACUCCUGCAUACAAUUGUAUCUUAGGGCAGAAAUUCCCUAGAUGCUCCUAGCCU